UUGCGGUUAAAAAGCUCGUAGUUGGAUUUCUGCUUGGGGUGGCCGAUGUGCCUUCUGGGUUACAGCCGGUUCAGCCUGAGCAUCUUUCUGGGAAUCGUGUCUGCACUUGAUUGUGUGGCACGGGUUCCAGGACAUUUACUUUGAGGAAAUAGAGUGUUUCAAGCAGGCGUCCGCCUUGAAUACGUAGCAUGGAAUAAUGCGACAGGACCUCGGUCCAUUUUGUUGGUUUCUUGGGUUGAGGUAAUGAUUAACAGGGAUGGUUGGGGGCAUUCGUAUUUAACUGUCUGAGGUGAAAUUCUUGGAUUUGUUAAAGACGAACUACUGCGAAAGCAUUUGCCAAGGAUGUUUUCAUUGGUCAAGAACGAAAGUUAGGGGAUCGAAGACGAUCAGAUACCGUCCUAGUCUUAACCAUAAACCAUGCCAUCUAGAGAUCGGAGGGUGUUCAUCUUAUGGCUCCUUCAGCACCUUAUGAGAAAUCAAAGUCUUUGGGUUCCGGGGGGAGUAUGG
rnacentral:rRNA from 1 species